rnacentral:rRNA from 1 species
GAUUAAUUGGAUAGUAUUGUACUAAGGUAGUAUUAUGAAUCGGAAAAUUUAAAAGGAUUGGCGGUAGUUGGAACAUAUUAGGGGAAUUUGUUAAUGUAAGUGAUGUUCCGCAGGCACCUUACUUCUAUGGCAUUUAUGUUAAGGACUUGUAUACCGUUGUUUAUGAUUUUUUAAAAAUUAAAAAUAAAUUUAUCUUACUAUGUCUGUAAGCUAAGAUAUUAUAGGUCAAAUCAAGGUGCAGCCUAUUUAGAAGGGUUUAAUGAAUUACAAUAAGCGGGGUUAAUAUGAAUCUUGUGCUGUAAUGUGCAUGUGAAGGUGGAUUUAUCAGUAAAUUAGUAAGAGUAUGAGUUUUUGAUUAGUUGUUCUGGAUUAUGC